UGUAAAUGUAUUUCAGAUCAACAUGGAAGAGCAACAAUUUUGGAACCUGAAAUAUCAAAAGAGAGCCGUUUGUGCAGCCAGCCCGCUGCAGUGUGAGGUUGCACAGCCUGAGGAUGCCCCAGCUGCAAGUGCCCUGAUGCUGCUGAAUUUUGGUGUGAACUCCAACUCAACCCAACAGUCAGAAGUUGCCUUUUUAAUUCCCCCUCACAGGAACACAUCCUUUCAUCACUUCUAGAUGGCGACAAUGGAUUUUCAUAUUAAAGAAGCACUUGCUUCCUGAUAGAGAUUAUAUUCAAAAUAUUAAUUUGGGGUAAUUUUAAAAUAUUUAUAUUAUCACACAAUAAUUCAUUAUCCUAUACAUUUACUACUGAUAUCAAAAGACAUAGAAGAGGUUUAUGAAGAUGAAUUAGAAUGGUCCAGCAUAAUCCAGUGACUGAAUUUCCAAGUCCCACUUGAAGGUUAUGGCUGCUGACAUUUAAUCCACCUGAUUUGAUCUGAUGGAAUUUUGCCUUCUCUGCAGCAGCAAACCCCUUUGUAGGUGCAUGUUUUACCCUGUUCUGCAGCAGCACCCCAGGUGAGAUGAGAGGUGGUGACAGCAUUAAAUUGUGUUUGCUGCUGCGUGUGAGAGCUCAGCCCGGAUCAAACGAGGAACUGCAUUUGCUUGGGCAGAUCUUCAGGAGCAGCACUGUGCAAAAGGUGGGGACCUGCCAGAGCUCUGGAAUGAACUUCCCCAAGUUAGUGAAAAGAAAGGAGAGCUUUACAGACAAAAAUGCCCCAAAGGGCUCCUUACUAUCGAGAACUAACAUGAAGUAACUGUUUGAAGCUUCAUCAAUAUGUUUAUCCCAAGCCAGGGCUGAGCAUUUAUUCAUCAUUUGGGCUCCUGCCAUCAAUCAUUCCCAUUCCAAGAGCCAACAGAUGGUGAAUCAGUAACCCCUCAGUGACCUGCUGGCUGGGCAAGGAUGCAGCAGCCCUGACAGGAGCUGACCCACCUGACACUGGCCAGGGCUCCACCGAACCACAAACACCUCCUGAAACAGAGAACCUCCCCAAAAACAGUUUAGGAGCUGUGACAGGAAGCACCUCUUAACUCAGGCACUGUGUAACAGCGCUGGGAAAAAACAGUGAUUAAUGCAAUGAAUUAUUUAUCACCCAGGACGAAUUUUUACAGACAGACACUAAGUUUUAAUUGACAGUGAGCACACAAGAGACAGGCUUGCUUAGGAGGAUGGCCCACAUGUGACACCUCACUGAAGGCUCAGAGGGAAUCAUUUUUAAUGCCAGCUUCGGGGCUGGCUCGUGCACAAGCCAGCAGAGUCGACCCUGAAGCCAAGAGCUACAAGGUAGGAGGGGACCAUCCUGUGCUGCAGCCAUCAGUCACUGAGUGUCUCAGCAGAGAAGAGGGGAUGGAUCUCCUGUGGAGAGCUG